GGUUGUAAAGCUCUUUUACCCGGGAUGAUAAUGACAGUACCGGGAGAAUAAGCUCCGGCUAACUCCGUGCCAGCAGCCGCGGUAAUACGGAGGGAGCUAGCGUUAUUCGGAAUUACUGGGCGUAAAGCGCACGUAGGCGGCUUUGUAAGUUAGAGGUGAAAGCCUGGAGCUCAACUCCAGAAUUGCCUUUAAGACUGCAUCGCUUGAAUCCAGGAGAGGUGAGUGGAAUUCCGAGUGUAGAGGUGAAAUUCGUAGAUAUUCGGAAGAACACCAGUGGCGAAGGCGGCCCACUGGACUGGUAUUGACGCUGAGGUGCGAAAGCGUGGGGAGCAAACAGGACUAGAUACCCUGGUAGUCCACGCCGUAAACGAUGAUAACUAGCUGUCGGGGCACUUAGAGCUUCGGUGGCGCAGCAUACGCAUUAAGUUAUCCGCCUGGGGAGUACGGCCGCAAGGUUAAAACUCAAAUGAAUUGACGGGGGGCCCGCACAAGCGGU
rnacentral:rRNA from 1 species